GGACGAGGACUGAAGCAGGUCUAAACCAGCUCUGAACCAGGACUAAACUAGGACUAAACCGAGAUUAAACCCAGACUGUUGGUGCUCAGAUGGAGGCUCUGCAGGUCCAAGCUCACAUGUACCUCUCUGGGGUUCUGAAGGGGGUUUAUACUAUUUUCAUGUCUUCUCCUUCUGGAGUCUUCAGUUUUGAUGAACUGGUCCAAAAUGUUUCAAGGCACUUUCGCCCAAGACGAGUCAACAUCAGGAUGAGUUACAAAGGUCCUUUUGGAAUGACUGAUCUUUGGAGUCAGUUGGAGAUGAAUCGUGCGGUCGAGCAGCGAAACGGAGGCCCUGUCGUCGUUUACGUUUACGCCACAGACUUCGACAGUCCCCACGAUGCCCCACAGUCACAAGUCCUGGAGGGGGCGAUGGCACUACAGCUCAUGAGGAGGUGCAGCUCAUGAGGAGGUACAACUCAUGAGGAGGUUGUGCUGAAUGACAUCAUCGCUGACAUCACGGAGCUCAGACCAUAUAAGGCUCAGUGCAGCUUCCUCUUGUUACUAAAUGAGG
ensembl:lncRNA